CCUACGGGUGGCAGCAGUGAGGAAUAUUGGUCAAUGGGCGGGAGCCUGAACCAGCCAAGCCGCGUGAGGGAAGAAGGUACAGCGUAUCGUAAACCUCUUUUGUCAGGGAACAAAGGCGGGGACUAGUCCCCGGAUGAGGGUACCUGAAGAAAAAGCAUAGGCUAACUCCGUGCCAGGAGCCGCGGUAAUACGGAGGAUGCGAGCGUUAUCCGGAGUUAUGGGGUUAAAAGGGUGCGCAGGCGGCCUGUUAAGUCAACGGUAAAAGCCCGGGGCUCAACCCCGGCGAGCCGUUGAAACUGGCGUGCUGGAGUUGGAGAGAAGUACGCGGAAUGCGCGGUGUAGCGGUGAAAUGCUUAGAUAUCGGGCAGAACCCCGAUUGCGAAGGCAGCGUACCGGCUCCACACUGACGCUGAGGCACGAAAGCGUGGGUAUCGAACAGGAUUAGAUACCCGGGUAGUA
rnacentral:rRNA from 1 species